UACGAAGGGGGCUAGCGUUGCUCGGAAUCACUGGGCGUAAAGCGCACGUAGGCGGCUUUCUAAGUCAGGGGUGAAAUCCUGGAGCUCAACUCCAGAACUGCCUUUGAUACUGGAGAGCUUGAGUCCGGGAGAGGUGAGUGGAACUCCGAGUGUAGAGGUGAAAUUCGCAGAUAUCAGGAGGAACACCAAUGGCGAAGGCAGCUCGCUGGGACGUGACUGACGCUGAGACGCGAAAGCGUGGGGAGCAAACAGG
rnacentral:rRNA from 1 species